rnacentral:ncRNA from 2 species
UCAUAGAAGAUCGAGGUGGAUGUGUGGAAGGGGGGUGAGAUUCCCCCGCUGCCCCGCAGCCGUGAAGGGAACGAAAGCCCGAAAAGCCACUCUCGCGAGGGAAUCGUGAGGGGAAGGCGGGCGAGUAGGCGGCCCGAAGCCGGAAGACCAAUCCACCGACAGCAUUCCCG